CUGGACCUCAAAAAAAAAACCUGCAGGAUUCAGGAGUGGAGCUGCUCUCAGCUGGACUGAAAGGUUCACACUGUAAACUGCAGACACUCAGACUGCCAUUCUGUCAUCUUGGUGAAAAGACGUGUGAAACUUUGGGAUCAGUUGAAAAACUCCUCCCUGAAAGAUCUGGACCUCAGUAACAAUGAUCUGCAGGACUUAGGAGUGGAGCUGCUCUCUGCUGGACUAAAGAGUUCACACUGUAAACUGCAGACACUUGGAUUAAUAUAUGGUUGUAUGAUCACAGAAGAAGGCUGUGUUUCUCUGGCUACUGCACUGAAUUCAAACCCCUCCCACCGGAAAGAACUGGAUCUGACCUACAACCAUCCAGGAGAUUCAGGAGUAAAGCUGCUCUCUGCUAGACUGCAGGAUCCACACUGCACACUCAACACACUCAGGGUGGAACAUGGAGGGAAAAUCAGAAUCAAACCAAAGAAAUCAAAGAAAUAUGGCUGUGAUUUUACACUGGAUCCAAACACAGUACACCCUAGUCUAGGGUGACCUAGUGAGGACACCCUAGUUAGGACAACAGGACGGUGAUGAGAGGAGAGAAGCUGCAGUCGUAUCCUGAUCAUCCAGAGAGAUUUGAUAAGUGGGAGCAGGUUCUGAGUAGAGAGAGUGUUACUGGGCGCUGUUACUGGGAGGCUGAGUGGAGCGGCAGAGGAGUUUUUGUAUCUGUAAGUUAUAAAACCAUCAGCAGGACAGGAGAAGAAUCAAACUGUCGGUUUGGAGGAAAUAUAAACUCCUGGUGUCUGAGCUGCUCUGAUUACAGUUACUCUGUUCAUCACAAUCUGAACUACACUAAACUCCGCCCUCCUCCCUCUGGCUGUAGGAAAAUAGGAGUGUAUGUGGACUGUCCUGCCGGCAUUCUGUCCUUCUACGGCAUCUCCUCUAAUACACACACACUUAUACACAUUCAGCACCACCUUUACUCAGCCCCUCUAUGCAUGAUUCACUAUUCAUGAAGACUCCUCAGUGUCUGUGUGUGAGAUAGAUUAACCUUCCCUCUGUUUGUGAGCGUGAGUAUGAAAGAGUAUGAGUAAGUAGGACUGUAAGUGUGAGUAUGAGUGUAGUGAUGUCAGGGCCCUGGUCAUAUCACCACCUACUCAAAACACUUGAGAACAUAAAACACAGACAUUGAUAAGAUUGACAUAGUACUUACCUGGUUCCUGAAGGAAUGGCAGCGCACGAGCCACCAAGGUUCUUAAGGACUUGGUAGAGAACAAGGGUCUGAAAAAAAGAGGAAAACAAUGUAAAAACAUCUGAACAUUGCAUAAUAUACUUUCCUAAAAGUCCAAAGUGUUGCAUGCAUGUAUUCUAUUAUGUAAAUAAUUUAAAAUAACUCUUGCCCACCUGCUUGCAAUGUAAUUAUCUAAUGGUUUAAUAUGGGGUGGGCUAUUUGAGUAUUUAAGAGCAGGUGGGCACGCUAAAGGGGGUUUCUCUAGAUUAAGCAUGACUUUAUGCCGAUAGGAAAUUGUUGGAUUGGGAGCACUUUGAGCAAGUUGCUCAAGUGUCAAGAAGGUGGUAGCUACAGUGCCACUGUAGCAGAUAGCUUGGAAAACAAUUCUUCCUCUCUCUGUCUAUUUUGCCUUUGUCUUCCUCACAGAGUUGAGGAAUGCCAAGUAAUUUCCCUUCACCUCAAUGUGAAGAACUUCAAAAAAGUAACCGAUCAAUGGCCAAUCCAGUUUACAGCCCAUUUUUCUGGACCAGGUUUAAAACUAACCAUAGUAUUAACACUCUAUGUCAGCAAUUGAGUUUUUCAAAACAACAAUCAUAAAAGCAUUAUGGAUAGAAUGUUUACUUCUCUUCCACCCAAUUGAGACUAGAUAAGACUCCAUAAAAGCACCAUAAAAUUUACACAUACACACAAACCCUUCAAACCACAAACACUCUG